AUACGGAGGGUGCAAGCGUUAUUCGGAAUCACUGGGCGUAAAGGACGCGUAGGCGGGUUGGCAAGUCAGAUGUGAAAUCCUACAGCUUAACUGUAGAACUGCAUUUGAAACUGCUAGCCUAGAGUAUGGGAGGGGGAGAUGGAAUUAGUGGUGUAGGGGUAAAAUCCGUAGAUAUCACUAGGAAUACCGAAAGCGAAGGCGAUCUCCUGGAACAUAACUGACGCUAAGGCGUGAAAGCGUGGGGAGCAAACAGGAUUAGAAACCCUGUAGUCC
rnacentral:rRNA from 1 species